UUCACAUUAAGAAACUGUUACAUACUAUUAAGCCACGUAUAUUGAGCAUGCAGGUUUGAGCAAAAAUGCUCAUACCUCUAGGGCUUUACAUGCCAUCUCAAUGGCAGCCUCAUUACAUAAUCUUGGAACGGCAACAAAAUAAAAACAUUCUAAUGUUUGUGCUAAUAGGCAGGCUUCUUCGACAAGGUCUGCACACCAGUAGGAAGCUGAACUCUACCGUUUGCUCCGUCAAUAUUGAUUUGAGCGUCUCCUUCAAAAACAAAAUAAUGAAAACCUCUGUCAAGAGCAAGUUGUACCGCUUUUCUAUGUGCCAAGCUUUCUUUCUAGUAGGUCAGGUCGGUGGAGGAAAGCAAUCCGUUUCAAUAUAAGACAUUUAUAUUUCUCGAUCAAAUUCAAACAGUUGACAGAUUAUCUUUGAAAUUGGAUGGUGAAUUUUAUUUUAGCUAAUUGCUUGUAAAGCUGUACAUAUAUGGACUUUAUAUUUCUGAAUCAGAGACCAAUCAAGGAGACAUGCUGACUGAUGAAG
rnacentral:lncRNA from 1 species